UACGUAGGGUGCGAGCGUUAAUCGGAAUUACUGGGCGUAAAGCGUGCGCAGGCGGUUGGUUAAGUCUGAUGUGAAAGCCCCGGGCUCAACCUGGGAAUGGCAUUGGAAACUGGCUAGCUGGAGUGUGGCAGAGGGGGGUGGAAUUCCGCGUGUAGCAGUGAAAUGCGUAGAGAUGCGGAGGAACACCAGUGGCGAAGGCGGCUACCUGGCCCACUCUUGACGCUGAGGCGCGAAAGCUAGGGGAGCAAACGGG
rnacentral:rRNA from 1 species